rnacentral:rRNA from 1 species
AUUGAACGCUGGCGGCAGGCCAAAAACAUGAAAGUCGAACGAGUGGCGGGCGGGUGAGUAAUGUCCGGGGAACUGCCCGUUGGGGCGGGAUCACUACUGGAAACGGUAGCUAAUACCGCAUACCAUCGGUUGUGCCCAGAUGGGAUUAGCUAGUAGGUGGGGUAACGGCCGACCUAGGCGACGAUCCCUAGCUGGUCUGGGAGGAUGACCUGCCACACUGGAACGUGGACACGUUCCAGACUCCGACGGUAGGGAGCAGGGGGGAAUAUUGCCCAUGGGGCGCAACCCGGAUGCAGCCUGGCCGCGUGUAUGAAGAAUGCCUAUGAGUUGUAAAGGGCUUUCCGCGAUUAUCCGUUACUCUCAGAAGAAGCACCCGCUAACUCCGUGCCAGCCGCCGCGGUAAUUC